rnacentral:rRNA from 1 species
UGGGGGAUAACGCUGGGAAACUGGCGCUAAUACCGCAUACGUCGGCGGGGCUACGGCUCCGCCAAGAAAGCUGGCCUCUGCUUGCAUGCUAGCGCUCCUAGAGGAGCCCGCGGCUGAUUAGCUAGUUGGUGGGGUAAUGUCCCACCAAGGCGACGAUCAGUAGCCGGCCUGAGAGGGUGAUCGGCCACACUGGGACUGAGACACGGCCCAG